AUUAGGUUUAAACAGAAAAGUUGAGAUGAGUAAAGUAAAUCUAAUUGGGUAGAUCAGGGGUUCCCAACCCAGUCCACAAGUACCCCCUACCAGUCCAGGAUUUCGAAUUCGAAUGGAACCGAACACUCGCUCCCUGGCAACCGUUCGCAUUAAGAAACCAACAAAUUCUCCUCAGCGGUACUUAGCCGCUACCGUUAUGGAACUAAAUUUGUCUUGAAGACUUAGUGGGUCCCUGGUCACCUCAGCGGUACUUAGCCAAGAAUGUUAUGGAGCUGUUUUCGGCAUGAAGUGACCGAGCGGCUCCCGGAUAACUUGGUCCGUGGUUCUGAAUGACUUUGCAAUCUGCCAGGAGAGAGCUUUUAGGAGGGAAGGUGCAUGAAACUAAGGGGCAAAAACGCUAUCAGAGACCCAGGUGGAGCACUCCGUAUUGUGGCCGCAUGAGCUCUUGAAAGUUGACCGGCCAAAGCACCAAACGCCCUGGAACUGUUUUGGGCAUAGGACCAUGUGUGCAGCUGGUCAGAACUUUAACACGGUGGCGUUUCCCCUAGACUGCAUGGAUCUGAACUUGGGUGCCCAGAUCAGGGCUUUUAGGGGAUGCACUAUUUGUGGGGUUAUUGUAUAUUUGUAUUCUGUUUUGUGGUAUUUUUAUGUUUUAUAUUUUUGGGUUUGCCUCUCUGUUCCUGGGAAAUAAUUAGCUUACCAGUCUUUAACUCAAUGAUCUCCCAAAUACAGAGAUCUUUGGGAGGGGGUUGCAUUGUAUUGUGUGGAGACCCCCUGCUGGGGGUUGUCUAUAUAAGCAGUUAACUUGGCCAUAAUAAGUCAGUUCCUCUACACCAGGGGUUCUCAACCAAGUCCUCAGGACCCCCUACCAGUCCAGGAUUUGGGGAUUACCUGGGUGUGUCUCAGGUGUUUAGAAA